GCCCUUGCCCAUUUGAGGGGGAUACCAGUUGGAAACGACUGUUAGUACCGCAUAAUAUCUGUGGAUUAAAGGUGGCUUUCGGGCUGUCGCAGAUGGAUGAGCCUGCGUUGGAUUAGCUAGUUGGUGGGGUAAGGGCCCACCAAGGCUACGAUCCAUAGCUGAUUUGAGAGGAUGAUCAGCCACAUUGGGACUGAGACACGGCCCAAACUCCUACGGGAGGCAGCAGUGGGGAAUAUUGGACAAUGGGGGCAACCCUGAUCCAGCAAUGCCAUGUGUGUGAAGAAGGCCCUAGGGUUGUAAAGCACUUUAGUUGGGGAGGAAAGCCUCAGGGUUAAUAGCCUUGGGGAGGACGUUACCCAAAGAAUAAGCACCGGCUAACUCCGUGCCAGCAGCCGCGGUAAUACGGGGGGUGCAAGCGUUAAUCGGAAUUACUGGGCGUAAAGGGUCUGUAGGUGGUUUGUUAAGUCAGAUGUGAAAGCCCAGGGCUCAACCUUGGAACUGCAUUUGAUACUGGCAAACUAGAGUACGGUAGAGGAAUGGGGAAUUUCUGGUGUAGCGGUGAAAUGCGUAGAGAUCAGAAGGAACACCAAUGGCGAAGGCAACAUUCUGGACCGAUACUGACACUGAGGGACGAAAGCGUGGGGAUCAAACAGGAUUAGAUACCCUGGUAGUCCACGCUGUAAACGAUGAGUACUAGCUGUUGGAGUCGGUGUAAAGGCUCUAGUGGCGCAGCUAACGCGAUAAGUACUCCGCCUGGGGACUACGGCCGCAAGGCUAAAACUCAAAGGAAUUGACGGGGACCCGCACAAGCGGUGGAGCAUGUGGUUUAAUUCGAUGCAACGCGAAGAACCUUACCUGGUCUUGACAUCCUGCGAACUUUCUAGAGAUAGAUUGGUGCCUUCGGGAACGCAGUGACAGGUGCUGCACGGCUGUCGUCAGCUCGUGUUGUGAAAUGUUGGGUUAAGUCCCGCAACGAGCGCAACCCCUAUUGAUAGUUACCAUCAUUAAGUUGGGUACUCUAUUGAGACUGCCGCUGACAAGGCGGAGGAAGGUGGGGACGACGUCAAGUCAUCAUGGCCCUUACGACCAGGGCUACACACGUGCUACAAUGGGUAUUACAGAGGGCUGCGAAGGUGCGAGCUGGAGCGAAACUCAAAA
rnacentral:rRNA from 1 species